AGUCCAAAGUUCAAAGUUUCACAUUCAUUCCAAACAUUUUACAAAAGAUUGAAACCCCAAAAAUUUGUUCACUUUCUCUCUCCUCUGGUGCUGCCGCCGCCGCCGCCGCCGCAGCCGCAGUGCUCCCCCGCUUCUCGGCGUUGUUGCCGCAUUUGUGGCUGGCUGUUGUAGCUUUUGUGUGAAUUGUCAAUACUCCAAUAUGGAUUACGGUAUGGACAUUUCAACGGUUUAUUUUGGGUAAAAAUUAUGGAAGCUGGGGGUGAGCAUCACUGCUAUAUACUUCCUCCGUUUCACAAUAAGUGAAACAUAGAGAAAGUGGGGAGUUACCAAGGAAUUUAGAGAGAGAAAGUUGGGACCACAAUAAAGUAGAGUGAAGAAGUAUUGAAGUUGUGGUCUCCUCUUACUUUUUGGUGGUAUAUUUGUAAUAAGAGUGAACUUUUUUAACCAUUUAGAGCUUGGUUUCACUUAUUAUGAAUUAUGAUUAUUUCAAAUAAGGAAAGUAUUUCACUUAUUGUAAAGCGGAGGAAGUAUACUUCAUAGCUCUACAAGAUAGUACCAAUAUGUUACCUUGUCUUUCGUAUUUCCUCUGUUUUUUUUUAUUGCACCACUUUCCUAUUAUGGGUGUUUCUUUUUAA